AGUGAACGCUGGCGGCAGGCCUAACACAUGCAAGUCGAACGGCAGCACAGAGGAGCUUGCUCCUUGGGUGGCGAGUGGCGGACGGGUGAGGAAUACAUCGGAAUCUGCCUAUUUGUGGGGGAUAACGUAGGGAAACUUACGCUAAUACCGCAUACGACCUACGGGUGAAAGCGGAGGACCUUCGGGCUUCGCGCAGAUAGAUGAGCCGAUGUCGGAUUAGCUAGUUGGCGGGGUAAAGGCCCACCAAGGCGACGAUCCGUAGCUGGUCUGAGAGGAUGAUCAGCCACACUGGAACUGAGACACGGUCCAGACUCCUACGGGAGGCAGCAGUGGGGAAUAUUGGACAAUGGGCGCAAGCCUGAUCCAGCCAUGCCGCGUGGGUGAAGAAGGCCUUCGGGUUGUAAAGCCCUUUUGUUGGGAAAGAAAAGCAGCCGGUUAAUACCCGGUUGUUCUGACGGUACCCAAAGAAUAAGCACCGGCUAACUUCGUGCCAGCCGCCGCCGUAAUAC
rnacentral:rRNA from 1 species